CUGUCGAAUCAAUCAUCACGAGGCAAAAAGUUACGAACGAGCGACUUCAGGCUGACCGUGAUCCAGCCGUGAUCGAACUUCUCGUUUUCACAAUCAACGCGACGCUCUCGUUACGUCUUCCCGUUUUCGUGCACAAAAGCGAGGACGAAUAUCUAAAAGUGAAAAGUCGCUAGUUUUCGAAUUUGAAAAAACUCGAAAACUUUCGUCGUUCGAAAAUUUUUUUACGACAGUUCAUCGUUUAACAAAUAAUCGAUCAUACGUGCGGUACAAAUCGGAACAACAUAAUCGAGUCUGCGAAUACAUUUGCAUGGAAAUAACGACGAUGAUGAUAAUGAUGACGUUUUGCUCACCGUAUUCACUAGCCGUGUUUUUCGCGUUAAUGAUCAUCUCUUUCUGCUUCUGAAUGCUGUCCGAUACUGAAAAAUUACGUGAGUUACGAGACGAACGACGAAGGUUUUGAAAAAAAAAAAAAUCAUUUCUCGAAAAGUAACAAAACUAAGCCAAAGGAACGAAAAAAGAAGAAAAAAAAAAAAAAACAACAACAGCAACAACAUUAACUCUUCUGGAUGUACUUACUGUAGUUU
rnacentral:lncRNA from 1 species